CUUGAGAGCGGCGUACGGGUGCGGAACACGUGUGCAACCUGCCUUUAUCUGGGGGAUAGCCUUUCGAAAGGAAGAUUAAUACCCCAUAACAUAUUGAGUGGCACCACUUGAUAUUGAAAACUCCGGUGGAUAGAGAUGGGCACGCGCAAGAUUAGAUAGUUGGUGAGGUAACGGCUCACCAAGUCAAUGAUCUUUAGGGGGCCUGAGAGGGUGAUCCCCCACACUGGUACUGAGACACGGACCAGACUCCUACGGGAGGCAGCAGUGAGGAAUAUUGGACAAUGGGUGAGAGCCUGAUCCAGCCAUCCCGCGUGAAGGACGACGGCCCUAUGGGUUGUAAACUUCUUUUGUAUAGGGAUAAACCUUUCCACGUGUGGAAAGCUGAAGGUACUAUACGAAUAAGCACCGGCUAACUCCGUGCCAGCAGCCGCGGUAAUACGGAGGGUGCAAGCGUUAUCCGGAUUUAUUGGGUUUAAAGGGUCCGUAGGCGGGCUCGUAAGUCAGUGGUGAAAUCUCAUAGCUUAACUAUGAAACUGCCAUUGAUACUGCGAGCCUUGAGUAAGGUAGAGGUAGCUGGAAUAAGUAGUGUAGCGGUGAAAUGCAUAGAUAUUACUUAGAACACCAAUUGCGAAGGCAGGUUACCAUGUCUUAACUGACGCUGAUGGACGAAAGCGUGGGGAGCGAACAGGAUUAGAUACCCUGGUAGUCCACGCCGUAAACGAUGCUAACUCGUUUUUUGGGUCUUCGGAUUCAGAGACUAAGCGAAAGUGAUAAGUUAGCCACCUGGGGAGUACGUUCGCAAGAAUGAAACUCAAAGGAAUUGACGGGGGCUCGCACAAGCGGUGGAUUAUGUGGUUUAAUUCGAUGAUACGCGAGGAAUCUUACCAAGGCUUAAAUGG
rnacentral:rRNA from 1 species